rnacentral:rRNA from 1 species
CCUANGGGGGGCUGCAGUGAGGAAUAUUGCGCAAUGGCCGAAAGGCUGACGCAGCGACGCCGCGUGAAGGAUGAAGUCCGUUAGGACGUAAACUUCUUUUGCAGGGGAUGAAUGUGGCGCCUCGAGCGCCAUUGACCGUACCCUGCGAAUAAGGAUCGGCCAACUACGUGCCAGCAGCCGCGGUAAUACGUAGGAUCCGAGCGUUGUCCGGAAUUACUGGGUGUAAAGGGCGUGUAGGUGGGUCUUCAAGUCGGUGGUGAAAUGCUGCAGCUCAACUGCAGAACUGCCUCCGAUACUGUUGAUCUUGAGUACGGCAGAGGGAAACGGAAUUCAUGGUGUAGCGGUGAAAUGUGUAGAUAUCAUGAAGAACACCGGUUGCGAAGGCGGUUUCCUGGUCCGUUACUGACACUGAGGCGCGAAAGCGUGGGGAGCAAACAGGAUUAGAUACCCCANUANUC